UAGUAACGGCGAGUGAAGCGGCAACAGCUCAAAUUUGAAAUCUGGCUCUCGGGCCCGAGUUGUAAUUUGUAGAGGAUGCUUUUGAUGCGGUGCCUUCCGAGUUCCCUGGAACGGGACGCCAUAGAGGGUGAGAGCCCCGUCUGGUUGGAUACCAAAUCUCUGUAAAGCUCCUUCGACGAGUCGAGUAGUUUGGGAAUGCUGCUCUAAAUGGGAGGUAUAUGUCUUCUAAAGCUAAAUACUGGCCAGAGACCGAUAGCGCACAAGUAGAGUGAUCGAAAGAUGAAAAGCACUUUGAAAAGAGAGUUAAAAAGUACGUGAAAUUGUUGAAAGGGAAGCGUUUAUGACCAGACUUGGGCUUGGAUAAUCAUCUGGGGUUCUCCCCAGUGCACUUUUCCAGUCCAGGCCAGCAUCAGUUUUCGCCGGGGGAUAAAGGCUUCGGGAAUGUGGCUCCCUCCGGGGAGUGUUAUAGCCCGUUGCGUAAUACCCUGGCGGGGACUGAGGUUCGCGCAUCUGCAAGGAUGCUGGCGUAAUGGUCAUCAACGACCCGUCUUGAAACACGGACCAAGGAGUCGUCUUCGUAUGCGAGUGUUCGGGUGUCAAACCCCUACGCGUAAUGAAAGUGAACGCAGGUGAGAGCUUCGGCGCAUCAUCGACCGAUCCUGAUGUUCUCGGAUGGAUUUGAGUAAGAGCAUACGGGGCCGGACCCGAAAGAAGGUGAACUAUGCCUGUGUAGGGUGAAGCCAGAGGAAACUCUGGUGGAGGCUCGCAGCGGUUCUGACGUGCAAAUCGAUCGUCAAACAUGGGCAUGGGGGCGAAAGACUAAUCGA
rnacentral:rRNA from 1 species